rnacentral:rRNA from 1 species
CGGUGUGAGUAACGCGUGGAUAACCUACCUAUAAGACUGGGAUAACUUCGGGAAACCGGAGCUAAUACCGGAUAAUAUAUUGAACCGCAUGGUUCAAUAGUGAAAGACGGUUUUGCUGUCACUUAUGGAUGGAUCCGCGCCGCAUUAGCUAGUUGGUAAGGUAACGGCUUACCAAGGCAACGAUGCGUAGCCGACCUGAGAGGGUGAUCGGCCACACUGGAACUGAGACACGGUCCAG